rnacentral:rRNA from 1 species
CCUACGGGAGGCAGCAGUGGGGAAUAUUGCACAAUGGGGGAAACCCUGAUGCAGCGACGCCGCGUGAGUGAAGAAGUAUCUCGGUAUGUUAAGCCCUAUCAGCAGGGAAGAAAAUGACGGUACCUGAUUAAGAAGCUCCGGCUAACUACGUGCCAGAAGCCGCGGAAAUACGUAGGGGGCAAGCGUUAUCCGGAUUUACUGGGUGUAAAGGGAGCGUAGACGGCAGCACAAGUCUGGAGUGAAAUGCCGGGGCUUAAGCCCGUACUGCCGUUGAAACUGCGUGCCUUGAGUGGGCGUGAGGUAUGCGGAAUGCGUGGUGUAGCGGUGAAAUGCAUAGAUAUCACGCAGAACUCCGAUUGCGAAGGCAGCAUACCGGCGCGCAACUGACGCUCAUGCACGAAAGCGUGGGUAUCGAACAGGAUUAGAUACCCCGGUAGUC